rnacentral:rRNA from 1 species
UACAGAGGGUGCGAGCGUUAAUCGGAUUUACUGGGCGUAAAGGGCGCGUAGGCGGUUAUAUGAGUGUGAUGUGAAAGCCCUGGGCUUAACCUAGGAAGUGCAUCGCAAACGAUAUGACUGGAGUACUAGAGAGGGUAGCGGAAUUUCCGGUGUAGCGGUGAAAUGCGUAGAGAUCGGAAGGAACGUCAAUGGCGAAGGCAGCUGCCUGGAUAGAUACUGACGCUGAGGCGCGAAAGCGUGGGGAGCAAACAGG